rnacentral:RNase_P_RNA from 12 species
GGGAGUCGGCGAAGGGAGUUACAGAUUCGCACUAACUGCGAAUCUGAGGAAAGUCCGGACUCCCAAAGACCAGACCGCUGGGUAACUCCCAGUGCGGGCGACCGUGAGGAAAGUGCCACAGAAACAUACCGCCAAUGGGAAGGAUGAAGGCAGAAGGAGGAAUUCAUCCUUCACCUCUUCUUUCUCAUCCUUCCACAGGUAAGGGUGCAAAGGUGCGGUAAGAGCGCACCAGCAGCACUGAGAGGUGCUGGCUCGGUAAACCCCGGUUGGGAGCAAGGUCAAAGGAACCAAGGUUGGUCUUUUACCGGUUCCGCAGUAGAGAGCCGCCAGAGGCAUCUGGCAACAGAUGUCCCAGAUAGAUAACUCCCCUCGGAAGGCUGAGGAUUAGCCCCUUGAGAACAGAAUCCGGCUUACGUCCGGCUCCCUCCC